rnacentral:rRNA from 1 species
UACGGAGGGUGCAAGCGUUAUCCGGAUUUACUGGGUUUAAAGGGUGCGUAGGUGGGCCUGUAAGUCAGUGGUGAAAUCUCCGGGCUUAACCCGGAAACUGCCAUUGAUACUAUAGGUCUUGAAUCAUCUGGAGGUGAGCGGAAUAUGUCAUGUAGCGGUGAAAUGCUUAGAUAUGACAUAGAACACCAAUUGCGAAGGCAGCUCACUACGGGUGCAUUGACACUGAGGCACUGAAAGCGUGGGGAUCGAAACAAG